UACGAAGGGGGCUAGCGUUGCUCGGAAUGACUGGGCGUAAAGGGUGCGUAGGUGGCGUGGUAAGUCAGAUGUGAAAGCCCGGGGCUCAACCUCGGAAUUGCAUCCGAUACUACCAUGCUAGAGUACUGAAGGGGUGACUAGAAUUCUCGGUGUAGCAGUGAAAUGCGUAGAUAUCGAGAGGAAUACCAACGGCGAAGGCAGGUCACUGGGCAGUUACUGACACUGAGGCACGAAGGCCAGGGGAGCAAACGGG
rnacentral:rRNA from 1 species